GUUCCACACGUACCCAUCCCGAACACGACCGUUAAGCCCUCUAGCGCCGAUGGUACUUGGACCGCAGGGUCCUGGGAGAGUAGGACGCCGCCAAGC
rnacentral:rRNA from 2 species